GAUGAACGCUGGCGGCGUGCCUAAUACAUGCAAGUCGAGCGAAUGGAUUAAGAGCUUGCUCUUAUGAAGUUAGCGGCGGACUGGUGAGUAACACGUGGGUAACCUGCCCAUAAGACUGGGAUAACUCCGGUAAACCGGAGCUAAUACCGGAUAACAUUUUGAACCGCAUGGUUCGAAAUUGAAAGGCGGCUUCGGCUGUCACUUAUGGAUGGACCCGCGUCGCAUUAGCUAGUUGGUGAGGUAACGGCUCACCAAGGCAACGAUGCGUAGCCGACCUGAGAGGGUGAUCGGCCACACUGGGACUGAGACACGGCCCAGACUCCUACGGGAGGCAGCAGUAGGGAAUCUUCCGCAAUGGACGAAAGUCUGACGGAGCAACGCCGCGUGAGUGAUGAAGGCUUUCGGGUCGUAAAACUCUGUUGUUAGGGAAGAACAAGUGCUAGUUGAAUAAGCUGACACCUUGACGGUACCUAACCAGAAAGCCACGGCUAACUACGUGCCAGCAGCCGCAGUAA
rnacentral:rRNA from 1 species